AUAGAUAAUAAUACAGAAAUUCAAAAUUGACAGCCAACUUUUGUUUAUAUAUUAUAACUGACCAAGAUAAAACAUAGAGACAAUAGCUUUGAGAGUUCUCAACUCUUCCUUAAAGUCAAGCCCCACAAACUAAUUAAAUUAAAUUAAAUAUAUUCCACUUAGGACUGACGAGUAACUGUAAUUAAUAACGUUCAAAUCAUUAGUGGUGACAUUAGCUAGUUAGGGUAUAUUUAGGUUAUUCUCAUAAUACAACAAAUUCUAUUAGUAUCCUCCCUCCACUUUCCGUAUGAAAUCUCUUAGCACUCUGGCUGCCAAAUAAAUGAAGGGAUAAUUAUUAGACCCCAAAUGAAGUGCUUCUUGUAUGGCUUUGGCCUUUGGCUUGCAUUGGGGUUUAUUUUCUACACAAAAAAAGAAAAAAAGAGUGAAGUUAAAUUUGAAUACAUAACAAAAUGAAGCCAAAGUCGUAAAUUGUUUUUAUUAGCAAAAAAGUGUUCAGACAUAGACAUAGUGGUAGGGAACCAAUGCUCCUCCCUCACCUAGUUAUAGUUAGGCUACAAGUUGUUGUUCUCUUAGUACGUAGUACACUACCCCAAUAAAAACAGAAAAGAAUAGUGGACGUACUUCCAAAAGUUAUGGAGGGCAAUUGCCGCCAUUUAUAUAAAUAAAUGUACGUAGCCCCGCCCAAGUCUGUAGAUAGAUAGCAUCACCAUGUGGUUCUACCUCAAAAUAGAAUAUCCUUCACUUCAAUUCUUAGUUCCAUUGUCCUUGCUGCUCUACUGGCUGGUCGAGGACGGUGAAUAUCCAGGUGAGUACCUAACACUUGGACUAGAACAGCCCACAAAGGAAAAGAUGUCAAAAAAAUGCCAUCAUCUCAGACCAUAUAUACUAUCUUGAAGAAACAUAAGUAAGAUGCGACAAUCAAAAUAAACCUAAAACAACACAUCCUGAAUCUAGAUGGAAAAGCUUCACUCACCUGUAUUGUGGUGAACUUGGGCUAUAGUCUGGGUUCGCACCAGAAUUAUAAGGACUGUAAAAUAUGAAGCCAAUCGUUAUAGAGUGCAAGGUGUUUAACCACCUUAACUUGACACAUGAAUCAUGUAACAUAAAGUAUUACCAUACAUCACCAUUAUUAAGAUGCAUGGUUUGUUAAAAGCAUUGAAAUUUCAGGUAGUAAGGUGUGGAAAGAAAAGCGUGUCGAAAAGGAACAGCUCAAACUUGCAGUCGGCAUAAAGUUAAUCAUGUAGCAUACACAUGAUUUAAGGUAUCACUAAAAGCUUGCAGAUUAAGGAGAAAGCUGAACUAUGUAAUAAACUACAUUAUUACAUAAAAGGAGAAACAGAGUGUUUCAGUAUCACUUUCCUCAAUUUAGAUAGAUCAAUGAUCCUAGAGUACAUUUGAAGAUCAUAAAAAUUAUAUAUGUUCAAAAAAAGGAAGCUUGUAAACAGAUGACCCGUCCAAGGUGAAAAAGAAAGAAAAGGAACAAGCAAACAAAUUACAAUACUAGAAAUACCGAGGUCACCCAUAAAAUUAAGAUAUAGUACAAGAUUUACCUGCUGGGACUGUAUGUUGGACUUGAAGGGGAAUAAGAUGGAGAUGUCGGUGAAUAUGAUGGUGAUGUUGGGCUGUAAGAAAAAAGAGAAAUUUAAUGUUCUAAAAU
rnacentral:lncRNA from 1 species